rnacentral:lncRNA from 1 species
GAUGAGAUGAAGUUUUGUUUUCAGAACUGCUGACUUUUGAAGGCGUAUUCAAAAGAUGUGGUGGUACCAACGACAAGGAUACAUAGAGAUGAUGGAUGGUAACAAAUGGAUACUGAGUAUAUUCAGCACCUCUCCAAGAAACUGGUAAAGACUAGCCUGCAAAACUAAGAGAGACUGUGACAGAGCUGUUCCAGGAGAAAGAAAAUAGCUCAAGUUGUUCAGUGCCACUUAAAACUGCUUAAAAAUCAAGACACAGAAGACAGACCAGAUGAAAACAGCAGAUUUUGUGCAAUAUGGAGAGCAGAGCGCGUGUAAACCCAGCCAGGCCUGCUCAAGCAUGAGGACUGCUACAUGGUACAGCAGAGUUCUGUGCUGCGUGACCUGAAUUUGCUGUUCCGAAGGAGAUAAUCCUGGUCCCAGCAGCAAGUGGCCCAGCGAUGCCAGCUCUGCAGGCUGCAUUCACCCUGCUUGCUUUGCUAAAAGGACAGAAUUCGUACGGACAGACAUUCCGUGAUAUGUCAGGCAGACAUCCAUGUGGAUAUACUGGGAUGAAAACAGUAACGUAAGUAUCCUUUUGUGUCUAAGUAUAGGUUCUAAUGUGUAAUCAGAUGAAUGUAAAUUUUCUUGCAUAUUCUGAACUAAAAAGAAGA